CUAUCAACUUCCAUUUGUUUAGAUUAUCUAAUGUCUAAAUCUAAGAUUUCAACUUCUUUUGCAAAUAUUUAGAAAGUGUUGAUCGAUGAACUUUAUAAGUAUCAAUCGGUACACUUUUCAAAACGCCGAUCGAUACACAUGUCGGUGUGUCGAUCGAUAUAUCUUCUAGCAAGCUUUAGCGAAUGGGUUUGACGUGUUCUCUAAUUUUCUAACCAACUUUCGUAUGCGCCUAGUUAAUUAGAUCAUACUAGUUUUGUUACAAAAAACAGACCAAGCUUCCGCUUGCGCCAAUCAAUCCUAAGAUCUAAGUUCAGGGUGAUCAAGCCUAGACUUAGCAGUAAUAAAGGAAAUGAAGCAGUCAUGGUCGGUGAUGGCUCCUAUCUCCCUAUAACCCACGUUGGUUCCACCAAUAUCUCGUCUCAGACAGAAAGUGGUGACAAAAGGGCCUCGAAGUAAAGGUCUUUACAUGUUGAAGGAUUCUCAGGUUAAAGUUCAUUUCUCAAACCGAUAAGUUACAACAUCUGAGACAGUGUGGCAUCAUCGGUUAGGACACUCCAAUCCAAGGAUUCUUCAACAUCUCAACAACAACAAGGAUAUCAUCAUGAAUAAGAAUAGAACAACCUCCAAUUGUGAGCCUUGUCAGAUGGGGAAGAACAAUUGUUUACAGUUUUUUUCUUCUCAGUCUUUUGUUUCUAUUCACUUAGAGAAAAUACAUUGUAAUCUCUGGGGACUAUCUCCUGUAAUAUCGAAUCAAAGAUUCCGCUUCUAUGCUAUCUUUAUUGAUGAAUA